rnacentral:rRNA from 1 species
GACGAACGCUGGCGGCGUGCCUAAUACAUGCAAGUAGAACGCACAGUUUAUACCGUAGCUUGCUACACCAUACACUGUGAGUUGCGAACGGGUGAGUAACGCGUAGGUAACCUGCCUGGUAGCGGGGGAUAACUAUUGGAAACGAUAGCUAAUACCGCAUAAUAUUAAUUAUUGCAUGAUAAUUGAUUGAAAGAUGCAAUUGCAUCACUACCAGAUGGACCUGCGUUGUAUUAGCUAGUAGGUGAGGUAACGGCUCACCUAGGCGACGAUACAUAGCCGACCUGAGAGGGUGAUCGGCCACACUGGGACUGAGACACGGCCCAGACUCCUACGGGAGGCAGCAGUAGGGAAUCUUCGGCAAAGGACGAAAGUCUGACCGAGCAACGCCGCGUGAGUGAAGAAGGUUUUCGGAUCGUAAAGCUCUGUUGUAAGAGAAGAACGGGUGUGAGAGUGGAAAGUUCACACUGUGACGGUAUCUUACCAGAAAGGGACGGCUAACUACGU